ensembl:lncRNA
GCAGGGCCCGGCAGUGCUCUGAGCAGGGGAGCAGCGGGAGCGCGGGCCUGACGUCGGGCGGCGAGCAUUUACCCACCCGGAGGGGCGGCCGCGCCUGGGCCGUGCCCGCCGGGAGAGCAGUGCCAGGCGGCCACGGAGGAGCCGCUGUCUGGCUGCGUGGGGGCCGGGCAGCUCGGGCAGUCCGGAGCCCGCCCCAGCGCAGGUUCUCUGCGACCAGGAGCAGGCGAGAGGGCCCUGCCGGUCCCCGCUGAUUCCCCGGGGCUGCUCCUCCCCGUCUCUUCCCAGGACGGGCGGUCCUCGCCUCUGGGGAUGCCCAUGCCUGAGGUCAGCUCAGGCCGCAGUCGGCCGGGUGCGAGGCAGCCCUGGCCCGCUCCUUCCGCCCGGCCAGCGGACCGGUCCUCAGGGCUGUGGAGCACGGAGCGCGCUUGGUAAGAAAAUUAACACCAAGCACUGGGAUGGGCCACGAGCUUCGGGAACUGAACCCGCGGCCUCCUUAGCGCGGCCACGAAUUUCCCUGCUCGGCCUCAACCGCGCCCAGCUCAGCCGCGCAGCCGCUGCUUCUCUCAGAUCAGGGAAAUCACCUGGACAGUCUGCACCGAGCACCGGAGCGCGCAGCGUCCGGGAAAGCCGCAGUUUAACCUUCGCGUCUUCGUUGUCUGGGGGCGCAGAGGCCCAAGGCCUCCUGCCUCCCGCAGGGCCACACACAGCACCCCGUUUCCAGCACAUGCGCCAGACUCCGAGAGGACGCCUGUCCCCGUGGACGCUGCCUCUUCUUGUUCUCUGAGGCCUGGUGGUCUUCAAGCAAGGAGCUCAAAGACACCAAGCCAGCCACUAAGGUUAAUUACAAGUGAUACAGACCUCACAGAGGAGGUUUGUCUUCGUCUCAGCUUCUCACCCCCCAUGAGUAGUAGCUGCCUACAGACUGGGAAUUCCCAUGAGUCCCCAUUCUGGGAGAAGGACCAGCUGCGGUGGUGGCCUUGGUGCUGGAGCUCGCAUCAGAAUCGACACUCCAGGGCAACGUUCUGCAUCCUCACCUCCCAGGCACAGCGCACCCCUUUAACACUCUCCAAGACACUAUUUAUGGCAGCGUCUGACAGAUGGUGGCACUGCACCAAGGUGUGUAGCUGUGGAUUUUCCUCCUGUCGGCUGCAUUGCAAUUCUAGCCUCCUGGCACAUGGAAGUCAUAUUUCCUACCUGAGCCAGAAACUUUGGUCCAGGUGACACUGCCCGAAGGAACUGAGAAUUGAAGUCCUUGUUUGCACAAGUGGGUGGUCCAUACAUACUGGUUCAAUCAGGUAUCUUUGCUUUUACUUAGAUGCGAAAGAGUGUGUGGAGAGAGGUGUUUUGAGAGAAGCAAAGGAAGGUGCCAACAGGUUCGCGUCCUGUAACCAGCUUGUAAGCCUACACAGCAUGAUUCUUUAAAAGAUGGUAAACCCAAUAUUGGCAUGGGGCUGGGUGUGCUGCUCCAUUGCCAGUGUAGGCUCAAAUCGUUAUGGGCUUCUGCACAAAAGUACUUGUGAACUGUAAAUACAGUAAUGCCUCUUUUAGCAGCUUAUCCUGAGGAUGUAAUCAGUGAUACAGAAGAAGAUAUAUCAAACACAUGUUUUCAUCACAUUAUGCUAAACAUGAAAAACUGAAAUAAAAUGUCCAACAGAAGUGGGUGGUCAAAUCGAUUAUGGCUUAUAUCCCACAGACACAUCAUUUUGGAAAAGUGUUCAGCAACACAGAAAGGAAUGUUCAGUGGGGAAAAGCACAAGGAAUAAAAUGCGGAUUAAGUAAAUAACUUUGGCAAAUGUUGAUACAUGGUGAAUGAAAGGUUCUUUUAAGUGCUAGAAUAUUCUGGAGGGGUCUUGCUGACUAGAAGUCAGAGAGCCAUUGUGUUCCUGCAGGGGA